AUCUAUGCUUAACACCAGUCUAUAAUAAUUUGAGCCUAAGAAACCCGGUCUGAUAAUCCGGCUUGGUGUACACCAAACUCUAGGCAAGGGAUAUUCUUGACUAAAAAUACAGCAAAUUAUAUUUGCUUUUCAAAAUUAAGCCCAUGCAAGAAAGGGAGAAACAAUUUUUGGCAUCAAAGUUUCAGAUUAUUCUUGGCUUAAAAGUACAGCAAAGCAGAUUUGUUUAUUAAUGUUCCAUCAUUGUGAUUUCCUAGAAGAUCAGAAUCAACCUUUUCAUCUGCAACUUUUUAUAUAUAUUUUCCAUGAUCAUGGUCCAAAUUGUAUGACUCCAGCAACAAACAAUCAAUAGAAAUGCAAAACUAAAAAUUACCUCUCGACUCACUUAUUUUAUUUCUUCCUGCUCAACAAAUCUUCCUUAAACCAACCAAUUUGUGCCUUUCAUUUGUAUCAAAGAACAUGGCAGAUUUUCUAUUCAGUAUUGCAGAAAAUGUUUUGGGAAAUAUAUGCCCUCUUGCCCACGAAGAAAUAUGUUUGGCAUUGGGUGUAGCGAGCAAUAUGAAAAGGCUUGAUGAGAACUUAUCAGACAUCAAAGCUGUUCUCUGUGAUGCUGAGGAGAAGAAAGCAGGGAACCACGAGCUGCAUAUCUGGCUUGGGAGGCUUAAGGAUUUCCUCUAUGAUGCUGAAGACGUGAUGGAUGAGUUUAAUUAUCAAGGGCUUCGCAAGCAGGUGGUGAAAGAGUACGGAAGCAUAAAAACCAAGGUACGCAGAUUCUUUUCAAGCUCAAAUCCACUUGCAUUCCGUUUCAAAAUAGGUCAUAAGAUUGAGGAGCUUAAGGAGAGACUAGAUGAUAUAGCAGCUCAGAAGUCUAAGUUCCAUCUCACGGACACGGAGCUAGUUACUUAUGGCAUGGGGGGCAUAGAGAAAGGGAGAUGACUGACUCAUUUGUGCGUGCAUCAAAUAUUAUUGGAAGAGAUGCCGAUAAGGAAAAACUCAUGGAGUUUCUGUUGAAAUCAGAUGAUCAAGCAGCAAGUAUAAUCUCUGUUAUCCCUAUUGUUGGAAUUGGGGGGUUGGGAAAGACUACUCUGGCUAAGAUGUUAUAUAAUGAUAAGAGAGUAGAUGCACAUUUUCAAUUGAAAAUGUGGGCGUUUGUCCCUGAGGAUGAAUUUGACAACAAGAAGAUAAUAGUAAAAAUGAUGAAGUCCUUAACUGACCAAAAUAGUAAUCUGAGUGAUUUGGAUACUGAGCAAUUACAAGCUCGCAUUCGAGAUCAAUUAAAUGGAAAGAAAUUUUUACUCGUCUCGGAUGAUGUGUGGAUGGUUGAACGUAUUCGCAUUAUAUGGCUUGAGUUGAAAGAAUUGUUGGAGGUAGCUGCCAUUGGAAGUAAAGUCAUUGUAACAACACGUAAUGAUAGAGUGUCCUAAAUGCUGGGCACUACUGAAGGAUACAAGUUAAAAGGUCUUCCACAAGUGGAUUGUUUAUCUUUGUCGAAAAAAUGGGCGUUCAGAGAAGGAGAAGAGGAGCGCUACCCGAACCUCCUGGCAAUCGGACAGAGGACAUAGUGAAGAAAUGUGGAGGGCUUCCUUUGGCGGUGAGGACAUUAGGGAACCUUCUCUACUCGAGAAACGAAGAACGGCACUGGAAAUCCGAAGAAAUGAUGAGAUAUGGAAAUUAAAAGAGGAGGAAGGGGACAUUUUACCUGCAAUAAGACUAACUUAUGAUCAAAUGCAAUCUCAAUUGAAGCAAUGUUUCGCUAUUUGUUCUGUCUUUCGAAAAGGUAAUGUGUUCAGCAGUUCUGUAUUGGUUCAGUUUUGCAGGUGCAAAGGCCAAACAUAAAACCACUAUCUAUGGAUCUCUUUCUCUUCAGAACUCUUCCCUUUCUCUUAAGUGGCUUCAAUCUACAGACACUGUCGUCCAAUGCUGAGUUGAUAGUUCAUUAAUUUUGAGGGAAGCUUUUGGAAGAGCUUGAUUAUACAUUGAAUGUCUGUUGAAGAAAGUCCCCGUUGUCAACAAAGAGGGAGUUACGCAGAGAUAUGCCUCGAUUUCCAGAAAUCAACCAUCGACUUGCAUGUGUUAGGCAUGACGCCUAGCUAGCAUGGAUUGGGCCCUGUAAUGAUAGAAAGUGAAACAGUGAGAAUGUUGGUUUACAUAUAAGAGAAUAUCUUCGUUGGCCGUUGGGGUUGCUUUGGAGCUUUGGAUUUGAAGCUGCUGGAUUGCUGGGCUACGGCCUACAGAUUUUUGUUGGUGAUUUUAAAGAAAUCCAGAGGAGAUCCUGUGUGUUCAGACCGGUGCUGAGUUUGUUGUCGGCUGAAAUCGAGCUUUCACCAAUAAAGAAAAAUCUGCUGCCCAUUUGAAGGUUCUAGUCCAUUGAUUUUUUCCCUUGAUUUUUAGUAAUAUAGUCCCUUCUAUCUGUUAUGUAGUGGUUACUACAUGUCCCUUCUAUCUGUUCCUUUGAUGUUGUUGCAGUAUCAGCAACCCAAUUUAAGUGCUUUCUUAGCCAACUUCUAUGCAUGAAUAUUAGUAAUUUAUUCCAUGAAAAUUUUGAUUAGUAUCCUUAUUAAGGAAACUGUAAUGAAAAGUUGUGGAAGUGAAUUUUGGAUGGAAA